rnacentral:rRNA from 1 species
GAUGAACGCUGGCGGCGUGCCUAAUACAUGCAAGUCGAGCGAACAGACGAGGAGCUUGCUCCUCUGACGUUAGCGGCGGACGGGUGAGUAACACGUGGAUAACCUACCUAUAAGACUGGGAUAACUUCGGGAAACCGGAGCUAAUACCGGAUAAUAUAUUGAACCGCAUGGUUCAAUAGUGAAAGACGGUUUUGCUGUCACUUAUAGAUGGAUCCGCGCCGCAUUAGCUAGUUGGUAAGGUAACGGCUUACCAAGGCAACGAUGCGUAGCCGACCUGAGAGGGUGAUCGGCCACACUGGAACUGAGACACGGUCCAGACUCCUACGGGAGGCAGCAGUAGGGAAUCUUCCGCAAUGGGCGAAAGCCUGACGGAGCAACGCCGCGUGAGUGAUGAAGGUCUUCGGAUCGUAAAACUCUGUUAUUAGGGAAGAACAAAUGUGUAAGUAACGAUGCACGUCUGGAAGGUACCUAAUCAGAAAGCCACGGCUAACUACGU